rnacentral:rRNA from 1 species
CUGUGUCCUUCGACGCCGGUUCACCGCAUGUCGGUGCCAACUGGCGUUUUGCGGGACGUCCUGUCGGUGGUGCGUCAGGAAUCUUAAGUGUGCUAUGCUUUGCUUAGUGCAGCUCUGGUUUCGGGCCACUUUCAUAAUCCCGCCGCGGUGCUCUUAAUCGAGUGUCGAGGCGGGCCGGCACGUUUACUUUGAACAAAUUAGAGUGCUUCAAGCAGGCUUGUCACGCCUGUAUCCUGUGUGCAUGGAAUAAUGGAAUAGGACCUCGGUUCUAUUUUGUUGGUUUCCGGAAUCUGAGGUAAUGAUCAAUGGGGACAGGCGGGGGCAUUCGUAUUGCGACGUUAGAGGUGAAAUUCUUGGAUCGUCGCAAGACGGACCGAAGCGAAAGCAUUUGCCAAGUAUGUUCCCGUCGAUCAAGAACGAAAGUUAGAGGUUCGAAGGCGAUCAGAUACCGCCCUAGUUCUAACCAUAAACAAUGCCUGCCAGCGAUCCGCCGGCGUCCCUCCGAUGACCCGGCGGGCAGCUUCCGGGAAACCAGAGCUUUUGGGUUCCGGGGGAAGUAUGGUUGCAAAGCUGAAACUUAAAGGAAUUGACGGAAGGGCACCACCAGGAGUGGAGCCUGCGGCUUAAUUUGACUCAACACGGGAAAACUCACCAGGCCCGGACACCGGAAGGAUUGACAGAUUGAUAGCUCUUUCUUGAUUCGGUGGGUGGUGGUGCAUGGCCGUUCUUAGUUGGUGGAGCGAUUUGUCUGGUUAAUUCCGAUAACGAACGAGACUCUAGCCUACUAACUAGACGUAUCUGGUAUCAGCAAUCGUGCUACCAGCGAUCAUAUCUCUUCUUAGAGGGACAGGCGGCUUCUAGCCGCACGAGACUGAGCAAUAACAGGUCUGUGAUGCCCUUAGAUGUCCUGGGCCGCACGCGCGCUACACUGAAGGAAUCAGCGUGUCUUCCCUGUCCGAAAGGACCGGGUAACCCGCUGAACCUCCUUCGUGCUUGGGAUUGGGGCUUGCAAUUGUUCCCCAUGAACGAGGAAUUCCCAGUAAGCGCGAGUCAUAAGCUCGCGUUGAUUACGUCCCUGCCCUUUGUACACACCGCCCGUCGCUACUACCGAUUGAAUGAUUUAGUGAGGUCUUCGGACCGGUGCGCGGAGGCGGUUUUCCG